rnacentral:rRNA from 1 species
GACGAACGCUGGCGGCGUGCCUAAUACAUGCAAGUCGAGCGGGGAUGCUUCCGGAAGCCCUUCGGGGCGGAAGGCUGCAUCCUAGCGGCGGACGGGUGAGUAACGCGUAGGGAACCUGCCCCCAACACCGGGAUAACCCGGGGAAACUCGGGCUAAUACCGGAUGCGGCCGACGAAUCGCAUGGUUUGUCGGUCAAAGGGCUUACCGGUUGGGGAUGGCCCUGCGUCCCAUUAGCUAGUUGGUGAGGUAACGGCUCACCAAGGCGACGAUGGGUAGCCGGCCUGAGAGGGUGACCGGCCACACUGGCACUGAGACACGGGCCAGACUCCUACGGGAGGCAGCAGUAGGGAAUCUUGCGCAAUGGGCGAAAGCCUGACGCAGCGACGCCGCGUGAGGGAUGAAGGCCUUUGGGUCGUAAACCUCUGUCGGAGGGGAAGAAAUUUUGACGGUACCCUCCAAGGAAGCCCCGGCUAACUAC